GACGAACGCUGGCGGCGUGCUUAACACAUGCAAGUCGAACGGAAAGGCCCUGCUUUUGUGGGGUGCUCGAGUGGCGAACGGGUGAGUAACACGUGAGUAACCUGCCCUUGACUUUGGGAUAACUUCAGGAAACUGGGGCUAAUACCGGAUAGGAGCUCCUGCUGCAUGGUGGGGGUUGGAAAGUUUCGGCGGUUGGGGAUGGACUCGCGGCUGAUUAGCUUGUUGGUGGGGUAAAGGCCUACCAAGGCGUCGAUGGGUAGUUGGCCUGAGAGGAUGAUCAGUCACAGUGGAACUGAGACACGGUCCAGACUACUACGGGAGGCAGCAGGGGGGAAUAUGGGACAAUGGGCGAAAGCCUGAUACAGCCAUGCCGAGUGUGUGAAGAAGGUCUUCGGAUUGGAAAGAAAGUUAAGUUGGGAGGAAGGGCAGGAAGUUAAUAACUGGCUGUUGUGACGGUACCAAAAGAAUAAGCACCGGCUAAAUUCGUG
rnacentral:rRNA from 1 species